GAUGAACGCUGGCGGCGUGCCUAAUACAUGCAAGUCGAGCGAACAGACGAGGAGCUUGCUCCUCUGAUGUUAGCGGCGGACGGGUGAGUAACACGUGGAUAACCUACCUAUAAGACUGGGAUAACUUCGGGAAACCGGAGCUAAUACCGGAUAACAUGUUGAACCGCAUGGUUCAACAGUGAAAGACGGUUUUGCUGUCACUUAUAGAUGGAUCCGCGCUGCAUUAGCUAGUUGGUAAGGUAACGGCUUACCAAGGCAACGAUGCGUAGCCGACCUGAGAGGGUGAUCGGCCACACUGGAACUGAGACACGGUCCAGACUCCUACGGGAGGCAGCAGUGGGGAAUCUUCCGCAAUGGGCGAAAGCCUGACGGAGCAACGCCGCGUGAGUGAAGAAGGUCUUCGGAUCGUAAAACUCUGUUAUUAGGGAAGAACAAAUGUGUAAGUAACUAUGCACGUCUUGACGGUACCUAAUCAGAAAGCCACGGCUAACUACGUG
rnacentral:rRNA from 1 species